rnacentral:rRNA from 1 species
GUGUCUGGUGGGUAGUUUGACUGGGGCGGUCUCCUCCCAAAGCGUAACGGAGGAGCACGAAGGUUAGCUAAUCCUGGUCGGACAUCAGGAGGUUAGUGCAAUGGCAUAAGCUAGCUUGACUGCGAGCGUGACGGCGCGAGCAGGUGCGAAAGCAGGUCAUAGUGAUCCGGUGGUUCUGAAUGGAAGGGCCAUCGCUCAACGGAUAAAAGGUACUCCGGGGAUAACAGGCUGAUACCGCCCAAGAGUUCAUAUCGACGGCGGUGUUUGGCACCUCGAUGUCGGCUCAUCACAUCCUGGGGCUGAAGUAGGUCCCAAGGGUAUGGCUGUUCGCCAUUUAAAGUGGUACGCGAGCUGGGUUUAGAACGUCGUGAGACAGUUCGGUCCCUAUCUGCCGUGGGCGCUGGAGAAUUGAGGGGGGCUGCUCCUAGUACGAGAGGACCGGAGUGGACGCAUCACUGGUGUUCGGGUUGUCAUGCCAAUGGCACUGCCCGGUAGCUAAAUGCGGAAGAGAUAAGUGCUGAAAGCAUCUAAGCACGAAACUUGCCCCGAGAUGAGUUCUCCCUGAGACUUUAAGUCUCCUGAAGGAACGUU